rnacentral:lncRNA from 1 species
CAUUUUCAGGCUGCUGAUAAAGACAUACCUGAGACUGGGAAGGAAAAGAGAUUUAAUUGGACUUACAGGUCCACAUGGCUGGGGAGGCAUCAGAAUCAUGGUGGGAAGAGAAAGGCACUUUUUCCAAGGCAGAGGCAAGAGAGGAAUGAGGAGGAUGCAAAAGCAGAAAACCCUGAUAAACCCAUGAGAUCUACAAUGCCCCACUCUACUGGUACCAAUUUACUGUAUUAGUCCAUUUUUGUGCUGCUGAUAAAGACAGAUCUGAGACCGGGAAGAAAAAGAGCUUUAGUUGGACUUACAGUUCCACAUAGCUGCAGAAGCCUCAGAAUCAUGGUGGGAGAUGAAAGGCACUUCUUACAUGAUGGUGGCAAGAAAAGAAUGAGGAAAAAGCCAAAGUGGAAACGCCUGAUAAACCCAUCAGAUCUCAUGAGACUUGUUCACUCAUAUUCUCAUGAGAAUAGCAUGAGAAAGACCAGCCCCCAUGAUUCAAUUGCCUCCCCUGGGUCCCUCCUGCAGCACAUGGGAAUUCUGGGAGAUACAAUUCAAAUCGAGAUUUGCGUGGGGGCACAGCCAAACCAUAUCAUCCCC